GGCGUGGCUCGGGGCGCUGGUGCUGGGCCUGGCGCUGAUGCUGCCGGGCACACCCGCGGUGACGAGCCAGCUGGCUCAGCAUCUGGCGCCGCACUG
rnacentral:tRNA from 1 species